UACGUAGGGUGCAAGCGUUGUCCGGAAUCAUUGGGCGUAAAGAGCGUGUAGGCGGCCCGAUUAGUCCGCUGUGAAAGUCCAGGGCUCAACCCUGGAAUGCCGGUGGAUACUGUCGGGCUCGAGUCCGGAAGAGGCGAGUGGAAUUCCUGGUGUAGCGGUGAAAUGCGCAGAUAUCAGGAAGAACACCAACGGCGAAGGCAGCUCGCUGGGACGGUACUGACGCUGAGACGCGAAAGCGUGGGGAGCAAACAGGAUUAGAUACCCUGGUAGUCCACGCCGUAAACGAUGGGUACUAGGUGUGGGGGGUGUCGACUCCCCCCGUGCCGAAGCUAACGCAUUAAGUACCCCGCCUGGGGAGUACGGCCGCAAGGCUA
rnacentral:rRNA from 1 species